rnacentral:rRNA from 1 species
UAAAAGAACUCAUUUUUAGUACCGCCUGCUCAAUGAUAAUUAAAUAGCCGCAGACCCACUGUGCUAAGGUAGCAUAAUCAUUAGCCUAAUAAUUAUAGGAUAGAAUGAAAGGUAAAACACGUUUCCUUCUUUAUUUUAAGACUAUUUCAACUUAAACCUUAAGCAAAAAUCCUUAAAAAAUCAGGGGGACGACAAGACCCUGUCGAACUUAACUUUAAGUUUAGCUGGGGCGGCAUAAAAAAUACACCUUUUUUCAUAAAUCCCUAACAUCCCCAACAUAGGAACAAACAAGUUACCGCAGGGAUAACAGCAUAAUUUUUUCCCAAAGACCUUAUAAAAGAAAAAGAUUGUGACCUCGAUGUUGAAUUAAAUUCCUUCUAUGAAGCAGAACUCUAAAAAGGAAGUCUGUUCGACUUUUAAACAUUU